GGGCGCCAGAGAGGCGCGGAGUGAGCGGGGGGCCCCGAGAGCGCUCAGUCAGGCUGGCGGAGCGCAGAGCGGUGCAGAGGCCGAGAGGCGCGCGGGUUCAGCCGGGCAGGGUCGCCUCGAGCCAGAGUGCUGCGCACCGCCGCCUUGCCCAGCCAGCAACCCCGCAACUGGAACGACCCCGGGCAGAAGUAAAGGCGGCCUUUCCCGCAGUCGCCACUGGAGGACCCAAAGUUUUGCCCGCUGCAUGUCCCUUCCUCCCGGGGUCCCAGUCACCUAUCGUGCGAUGUCGCCGAAGGAUACCCGGGGCUUAGUGGGGACCAGAUCGGCUGUUCUGCACCCCUCCACCCCAACCCCCCAGGGCAGGGUGGGGACUCUGGCGAGUGCACCUCCCACUACCUUACCACCCUGUCUCUUCUGGUGAGCCUUGGAACCCGGUCGCUGCACAGAUUCCUUCGGGAGCCAGAAGCAAAGAGGAAAAUGACGUGGCUCAGAGAAGCAGAUUGAUCCAGAUUGAUUGAACAAUCAGCAUUGCUCCACCAGCGAUGGAGUCCAAGGACUGGCACGGGCUGGACUCUCCUGAGAGGUGGGUGUUGGAACAUCAGUCAGCUGAUGGGCUCCAUGUCCCUUUGUAUCCAGGGAGAAUCAAAUUAUGAGUAAAAUGUCACUGUGAGGUGAGCACAAUGACAGCAGGGGCUUGGCAUAGCCUGCCCUACUUUGACCCUCGUGCCAGUACAUCCCCCUCUACACAAGCCCUCGCUACUGUUCAGCUCUCACUUUGUUCUCUGUCUUUAGUGUGACUCAGCCCAGGGCCUUUGGGAAAAGACCAUGUGAUUGUUUCUAUUAAGAAAGCCUUACUUAAAGCAUGGUGAGGCUUGCCUGAAAUUUCAAAAAGAUCACAAGAUCAAGGCCACCCUGAGCUAUGAAGCAAGACCUUCUUUUUAAACAAGAAAAAAGCAGCAAUCAAUAUUUUUUCCUAAGUAAGUAUUCUGGCAUUCAGAUAAUGAUCUGCUGAAGGAAUUAUCUCAUUUAAUGUCAUGUUAGAAACUACCCCAGUUAGUCUGUGGUAUCUCAGGGAAUAGCAACCUCAUUUUCUAGAAUUUUCGGAGAAGUUGGCCAAGCUCACCUUGCCUGAUAGACAGAUAAAUGACCCAGGGGACUGAGUGGGACAGUGGCCACCCUGAGCAGCCAAGGUUGGGGAAAAGAAACCUGAUCUGAGCAGGACGUGCCUGACUGAUAUAAAUAGAUGGUGGCAUGGUAGCCCAGCACUGCAGAUGGGGGCAGUGGCCACCUUAGCAAACAGCUGGAGACACAGACUGUAGGUCCCCCAAACCUAGCCCUCAGUGGACAGCAGGCAAGCCCUGGGGAGGCCCAGACGGGGUGAGAGAGAGCGUUCUAUGGGGUCCCGACAACAGUCGCUCAAUGAGGUGAUGUGAUGUGGGUAGGAAUACAGUGUUCUCAGUUGACGCAAUUCCCUGAACAAUACUGACUUCAAAGGGCUCAGAUGAGGCUCCGUCUGCUGAGUGCCUCUCUUGCAUGCAGAAGGCCAUGUGCUAGAACCCAGCACUGGAUGGACCAGAUGUGGGGACACCGGAAAUUCAAGGUCAUCCUCAACCACACAGGAAUUCAGGUUAGCCUGGGAUGCACAAGACCCUGUCUCAGAACAAAUAACACUUCUUUCAAGAAGAAGUCUUAAAAUUAGGGCUAUGAUGAUCCAACGUGAGAACGAUGCUUUCUCAAGACUGUGACACUCGGUUACAGCCACUGAAGUGACAGAAGCCUUACAGCUUGGUGGCCCCAUGGAAGUGCCUGUCCUCAGGCAUUCCUAGACGGACAGAAGGCAACAUUCACUCAGGGUAGGUGAAUAAGAGUCUCAGAGAGGCCUGUGCUGGUCAAACCAACAGCAAAAUCAACAGCUUCUCCUUGCACACCCAGUGUUUUAGCUCAGAGGGUAAUUCUACCGCAACCACGAUUCUGAGUGAUGUUCUUCAACUGUUUUGUUUAUUCUGUAGAGGUCGUUGGCCAACAGCGAUGUCCCGGCUAAAGAGCAUUUCCCAGAGUCACUCCCUACCUUUCUGCAUGGAGAGCAGUUAGUGCCAAAAAAAAAAAAAAAAAAAA